rnacentral:rRNA from 1 species
CCUACGGGUGGCUGCAGUAGGGAAUUUUCGGCAAUGGGGGGAACCCUGACCGAGCAACGCCGCGUGAACGAAGAAGUUAUUCGUAAUGUAAAGUUCUUUUAACAGGGAAGAAAGAGAAAUUUGACGGUAACUGAAGAAUAAGCGCCGGCUAACUACGUGCCAGCAGCGGCGGUAAUACGUAGGUAGCGAGCGUUAUCGGGAAUUAUUGGGGGUAAAGGGUGCGUAGAUGGCAUAGUAAGUCUUUUUGAAAAAGGCUGGGCUCAACCCAGUAGGGCAAAAGAUACGGCAAAGCUAGAGUAUGACAGAGGCAAGUGGAACUACAUGUGUAGCGGUAAAAUGCGUAAAUAUAAGUAAGAACACCAGUGGCGAAGGCGGCUUGCUGGGUCGAUACUGACAUUGAGGCACGAAAGCGUGGGGAGCAAACAGGAUUAGAUACCCGGGUAGUC